rnacentral:rRNA from 1 species
CAUCCUGUCACCAGGUAGCUGCCUUCUGUACCCCCCAUUGUAACACGUGUGUAGCCCCGGACGUAAGGGCCGUGCUGAUUUGACGUCAUCCCCACCUUCCUCACAUCUUACGACGGCAGUCUCUCCAGAGUCCUCAGCAUGACCUGUUAGUAACUGAAGAUAAGGGUUGCGCUCGUUAUGGCACUUAAGCCGACACCUCACGGCACGAGCUGACGACAACCAUGCAGCACCUUCACAUUUGCCUUACGGCUAACCUGUUUCCAGAUUAUUCAAAUGUAAUUUAAGCCCGGGUAAGGUUCCUCGCGUAUCAUCGAAUUAAACCACAUGUUCCUCCGCUUGUGCGGGCCCCCGUCAAUUCCUUUGAGUUUCACCGUUGCCGGCGUACUCCCCAGGUGGAAUACUUAACGCUUUCGCUUGGCCGCUUACCGUAUAUCGCAAACAGCGAGUAUUCAUCGUUUACUGUGUGGACUACCAGGGUAUCUAAUCCUGUUUGAUACCCACACUUUCGAGCAUCAGUGUCAGUUGCAGUCCAGUGAGCUGCCUUCGCAAUCGGAGUUCUUCGUGAUAUCUAAGCAUUUCACCGCUACACCACGAAUUCCGCCCACCUCUACUGUACUCAAGACUGCCAGUAUCAACUGCAAUUUUACGGUUGAGCCGCAAACUUUCACAACUGACUUAACAAUCCACCUACGCUCCCUUUAAACCCAAUAAAUCCGGAUAACGCUCGGAUCCUCCGUAUUACCGCGGCUGCUGGCACGGAGUUAGCCGAUCCUUAUUCAUACGGUACAUACAAAAACCCACACGUGGAUCACUUUAUUCCCGUAUAAAAGAAGUUUACAACCCAUAGGGCAGUCAUCCUUCACGCUACUUGGCUGGUUCAGACUCCCGUCCAUUGACCAAUAUUCCUCACUGCUGCCUCCCGUAGGAGUUUGGACCGUGUCUCAGUUCCAAUGUGGGGGACCUUCCUCUCAGAACCCCUAUCCAUCGAAGGUUUGGUGAGCCGUUACCUCACCAACUGCCUAAUGGAACGCAUCCCCAUCGAUAACCGAAAUUCUUUAAUAGGAUUAUCAUGCGAUAAUCCUAUGCCAUCAGGUAUUAAUCUUUCUUUCGAAAGGCUAUCCCUGAGUUAUCGGC